rnacentral:rRNA from 1 species
GACGAACGCUGGCGGCGUGCCUAAUACAUGCAAGUCGAACGCAGUGGGGACGGGUGAGUAACACGUGGGUAACCUCCCAUCAGAGGGGAUAACACUUGGAAACAGGUGCUAAACCGCUACUGAUGGAUGGACCCGCGGUGGAUUAGCUAGUUGGUGGGGUAAAGGCUCACCAAGGCCACGAUGCAUAGCUGACCUGAGAGGGUGAUCAGCCACACUGGGACUGAGACACGGCCCAGACUCCUACGGGAGGCAGCAGUGGGGAAUCUUGGGCAAUGGACGAAAGUCUGACCGAGCCACGCCGCGUGAGUGAAGAAGGUUUUCGGAUCGUAAAGCUCUGUCGUUAGAGAGGCGGUAUCUAACCAGGAAGCAACGGCUAACUACGUGCCAGCAGCCGCGGUAAUUC